GACGAACGCUGGCGGCGUGCUUAACACAUGCAAGUCGAACGGAAGGGCGCUGCUCUUGCUGGUUGCUUGUGUGGCGAACGGGUGAGUAACACGUGAGUAACCUGCCCUUGACUUUGGGAUAACUUCAGGAAACUGGGGCUAAUACCGGAUAGAAGCUCCUGCUGCACGGUGUGGGUAGGAAAGUUUCGGCGGUUGUGGAUAGACUCGCGGCUUAUCAGCUUGUUGGUGUGGUAGUGACUUACCAAGGCUUCGACGGAUAGCCGGCCUGGGAGCGUGACCGGGCUCAAUGGGACUGAGAUACGGCCCAGACUCCUACGUGAGGCAGCAGUGGAGAAUAUUGCACAAUGGGCGCAAGCGUGAUGCGGCAGUGCCGCGAGCGGGAUGCCGUCCUUCGAGUUAUGAACAGCUGUCGCCUGUGACGAAGAGAGAUUGACGGUAAUGGGUAAAGAAGCACCGGCUAACUACGUG
rnacentral:rRNA from 1 species